CUUCGCGACCUUUUCUUCCGUGUUUCUUUUUCUCUCCCAUAGCAUUUUGCUUCGUUUUGAACCUGGCUUUCUUCCUCUCUCGCACUGCCCCUUUUCUUGUUGUCUACUGUUUCCGUCUUUGUCUCAGCGCGAUCAUCCACCACUAUUUUUGUUGCUGGAAUAGUCUUUUGCUCCUGCGAAUUUCUUUGGUUCGAAAGCCUUAGGUGGAUUUGCUAUGAUCUUGCGUGUGAUUUCGGGAUGCUUGAUUUUCCGACAAGGUGAUUCCGACCAAUGACCAGAGAACUAGACCUCGCUACUAUCGGUGAAGAUAAUACACAGGGUAACAGAGUACUCCGAUACCUCUGAAUAACAAGUCAACAACCCAACUCCAAACUAGCAAGCAACAGACCAUCCCUAACCCUCACAAAGUCGCAUGGGCCACCAUUAGGAAGGCCCCUCCAAACCCUCUGCAUCAGCAUCCAAGUGAAUCCCAUUCAUGCUCUACGUUACAAGUUCAUUGUUAUUUUUCGUAAUAUAUUCUGAUUUCUAGAACUGUAAAUUCGGAUGUGGAAAUGAAUUUUCUAUGCAAAUUUGGAUAUUUGGAUGUUGGUUAAAAUUAGGGGAAUGGCUCCGAUUUUGUUAGUCAAUUAAUUUAAUUUUUUGUUUAUCUCAA